rnacentral:rRNA from 1 species
AUUGAACGCUGGCGGCAGGCCUAACACAUGCAAGUCGAGCGGAUGAAGGGAGCUUGCUCCUGGAUUCAGCGGCGGACGGGUGAGUAAUGCCUAGGAAUCUGCCUGGUAGUGGGGGAUAACGUCCGGAAACGGGCGCUAAUACCGCAUACGUCCUGAGGGAGAAAGUGGGGGAUCUUCGGACCUCACGCUAUCAGAUGAGCCUAGGUCGGAUUAGCUAGUUGGUGGGGUAAAGGCCUACCAAGGCGACGAUCCGUAACUGGUCUGAGAGGAUGAUCAGUCACACUGGAACUGAGACACGGUCCAGACUCCUACGGGAGGCAGCAGUGGGGAAUAUUGGACAAUGGGCGAAAGCCUGAUCCAGCCAUGCCGCGUGUGUGAAGAAGGUCUUCGGAUUGUAAAGCACUUUAAGUUGGGAGGAAGGGUAGUAAGUUAAUACCUUGCUGUUUUGACGUUACCAACAGAAUAAGCACCGGCUAACUUCGUA